rnacentral:rRNA from 1 species
AUUGAACGCUGGCGGCAUGCCUAAUACAUGCAAGUCGAACGAUGUAGCAAUACAUAGUGGCGCACGGGAGAGUAACACGUGGAUAAUCUCCCCCUCGAGAGAGGAAUAACUAGUCGAAAGAUUGGCUAAUACUUCAUAAGACCACAGAAACUAAUGUUUCAGGGGUAAAAGUCGUAAGACGCUUGAGGUUGAGUCUGCGUCCCAUUAGCUAGUUGGUGAGGUAACGGCUCACCAAGGCGACGAUGGGUAGCUGGUCUGAGAGGAUGAUCAGCCUCACUGGAACUGACACACGGUCCAGACUCCUACGGGAGCAGCAGUAGGGAAUAUUGCACAAUGGGCGAAAGCCUAAUGCAGCGACGCCGCGUGAGUGAUGAAGGACUUCGGUUUGUAAAGCUCUGUUGUCAGGGAAUAAAAAAAUGAAUGUACCUGACGAGAAAGGACCGG